GCGAUUUCAUCCUUAGGAUGUGAGCACACACGAGUUUACCAUCUUGAUGUUCCAUUGCCAAUAGGGAUUCGGUGAUCUUGAACUUUUCAAAUCUUCGAUAAUCUGGGUUAGGGAGAACAACGGGAGGAAGAGGAGGAAGUGAAAUCAAGCUAGUCCACAUUGAUCUCUCACUUUGAAUCAAGCUUUCACUUUCAUUAGGAACACUUUUUCCUUGGGAUUCGGGAAUACCACGGUUAGAGUCAGACAUCUACAAAACGGGAGAAAAUUCAAGUUAAGUUGAUUGAGUCCUUAAUAAAACACCCAAAUGAGUUAUUAAGGCUAGGAUCCAACACAAUAUUCUACAACCUAGAAAAGGGAUGCCGUAAUCUAGUUGCAAAAUAUUUGAAGGUAGGUAAAUGACGAUUUACCAAUUUCCACCAUGAAAAACGAAAAGGAAGAUUAAGUUUUAAAUGAAUUGAAACUCCUAGAUCUUUUGAGAUUCAUUGAACUUUUCAAUGGCAUGUUUAAUCUCGAUUAUGCCCUACUAUUUGUGACUGGGAUGCCGAGGAUCCCAAACAAGGUGUGAAUAACCAUACGAAUCACGUGGUGCGCCUAAUGCUAUUAUCACCUAAUCAAUGUGCCGGUUAGCCACACACGCUCCAUUGAUCUAUGAUAGGCAUCGAGCCACCCUUCGCCACCAAUGUCAUCCCCAAAUUAGUGUGCCGGUUAACCACACACGCUCCACUAACGUUUGACAAGGGUACGAAGUGUAAUUCCAUGGGUUAGCAUACAAUUUCACAUUUUUCCUAAAGUAACUAUGAUUUGGGAAUUUGAAAAAGCAUUUAGUUACUUUGUACUUCAUUAUACUUAUAAUGGAAGGUUUCUGUCCUAUCCUACCCGUUCGGCUAACGACCCUCCACUAGUCAAGAGUGCGGUGGGUAAGAGUGGAUACCCAUUCAAUCGCCAUUUUAUAGGCAAUUUCCUUAAACACCCCUUAUAGACCAGCUUCGUGAAUGAGGCCUACUAACGGUAAGACUGACUGUUUACUCAUACAUAUAUAUAAUAUUAGACUUUUAAUGUUAUAUAUAGUAUAGGGUGUAUUUUACACUUUUAAAAUACUAGGUGGUUUAACUUAGUAAAUUAUACUUUUAAUUUAAUUAAAUGUAAACCAAAACUUUAUGGGUUUAUUAAAUCACUUUUAAUUAUACACUUUAAUUAAUUAAUAAAACCAUAAGGGUGUGAUUUGAACUUUUCAAAUUACUAGGGUUUUAGAAUUUAACAUUUCAAAAUUAAACUUUUAAUCAAAUUUUAAAUUCCAAAACUUGAGGGCAAGUUUUGAAACAUUUCAAAACAUAAGGGAUCAAAUAACAAAUAACAUAAAUUAAACAAUUAAUUUGGUGAUUAUCUAUAUUUGACCUAAUCUCAUUUUAUUCAUAAGAUAAUUACCAAAAAAUUUAAAUAAUCCAUAUUUAUCAUAUAAAGAAACUAUUAUUUAAAAGAUUUGAAAUUAUCUUUUGUUUUAUGAAGGAUAAUCACCCAAAUAUAAUAAAAAUCGGAUUUUAUCAUCAAAAUACGUUUUAGGUAUUAAUCCUUCAGCAAAACAGCAAUAAAACCCGAUAUUCCCUCUGUCUGACCCCUGGACUCGCCGAGUUCAUCCACUGACUCGCCGAGUCAGGUCGGGCAGAGGCCAAAAAUCGAUUUUUCAGCAAAUAAAGCAGUUAAGCAUCACAUACAACUGAAACCAAUCAAGGCUCUGAUACCACUGAUGGGUUUUAGGCAUAAGAACAAUCCUAUGUGCUCAUACAAACCCUAAUGCUUGGAUCUAGGUUUCUCUAUUGUACAUGCUUUGAAUCCAAGACUAAUAAACUUAGAUCUAACAUAUUAUAAACUGAAUUAGGGUUUAUAGAAUUACCUUUGAUUGUUAUAUAGCAAUAACAAUCAAUUCCUUGCUUGGAUUGGCUUCAAAAGCUUAGUGCCUCAAAUGCUGCACCUCUAAUGGAGUCACAAACACCUUAUGCAACUUGGAUGAAGAGGAGAAGAAAGGAGGCUGCCCAAAAACGACUAGAAACCCUAGAGAAUCAGUUGUCCACGUUUUUGGAGCCUAAAGGGUCCUUUAUAUAUUUGUGUGGGCUGCUAGGGUUUCAGUCAAAACCCUAAUGGAUAGCUUAAACUCUAAGCAGCCCAUGGAACCUUCUGGAUAAGGCUAUGGACGAAAAUAUGAUGGGCUUCCAUCAUAAUUUCGUUCACCUCUUGUUGCUUUAGCAUUCCUUAGCCCAAUAACUCAAUUAUCCAAUAAUUGCAGUCCAGUCCCCUAAAUUUAAUUAAUCUCUUUUAGCCACAAAAUUAAUUAUCAAUUAAUUCUUGACUAAUACUAAUUAAACAAUAUGAUUUCUCCUUUAAUAUAUUAUUCUCAUAAUAUAUUAAUAAAUCAUAUUUAAACCUUUCUCUCCUUAAAUCAUCCUACAUAUUGCUAUGCUGAAGGCAACCCAAAAGGACCAUGCUCAUAAUCGGGUCAAGUACAAACCAAAAUAGUUAUGGACUUAGACACCAAUCCAACAG
rnacentral:lncRNA from 1 species